GACGUAGGGCGCGAGCGUUGUCCGGAUUUAUUGGGCGUAAAGAGCUCGUAGGCGGCUUGUCGCGUCGACUGUGAAAUCCCGCGGCUCAACCGCGGGUCUGCAGUCGAUACGGGCAGGCUAGAGUUCGGUAGGGGAGACUGGAAUUCCUGGUGUAGCGGUGAAAUGCGCAGAUAUCAGGAGGAACACCGAUGGCGAAGGCAGGUCUCUGGGCCGAUACUGACGCUCAGGCACGAAAGCGUGGGGAGCAAACAGG
rnacentral:rRNA from 1 species